rnacentral:rRNA from 1 species
CAUGCAGUCGAAGGAGAAGCAGGACUUCGGUCCUGUGGACACUGGCGAACGGGUGAGUAACGCGUGGGAACCUACCCUGGGGUGGGGGACAACCACUGGAAACGGUGGCUAAUACCGCAUACGCCCUCCGGGGGAAAACUUUUGUGCCCUGGGAUGGUCCCGCGUCGGAUUAGCUAGUUGGUGGGGUAACGGCCUACCAAGGCGACGAUCCGUAACUGGUCUGAGAGGAUGAUCAGUCACACUGGAACUGAGACACGGUCCAGACUCCUACGGGAGGCAGCAGUGGGGAAUAUUGGACAAUGGGGGCAACCCUGAUCCAGCCAUGCCGCGUGGGUGAAGAAGGCCUUAGGGUUGUAAAACCCUUUCAGCGGGGAAGAUGAUGACGGUACCCGCAGAAGAAGCCCCGGCUAACUCCGUGCCAGCAGCCGCGGUAAUACGGAGGGGGCUAGCGUUGUUCGGAAUUACUGGGCGUAAAGGGCGUGUAGGCGGUCUAUCGAGUCAGGCGUGAAAGCCCCGGGCUUAACCUGGGAACUGCGUUUGAUACUGGUAGACUAGAGGUUGGAAGAGGAGAGUGGAAUUCCCAGUGUAGAGGUGAAAUUCGUAGAUAUUGGGAAGAACACCAGUGGCGAAGGCGGCUCUCUGGUCCAUACCUGACGCUGAGGCGCGAAAGCGUGGGGAGCAAACAGGAUUAGAUACCCUGGUAGUCCACGCCGUAACGAUGUGUGCUAGACGUCGGGUGUUCAGCAUUCGGUGUCGGAGCUA